UGCCAGCAGCCGCGGUAAUACAGAGGGUGCUAGCGUUGUUCGGAAUUACUGGGCGUAAAGCGCGUGUAGGCGGUACGUUAAGUUCCGUGUGAAAGCCCUGGGCUCAACCCAGGAAGUGCGCGGAAUACUGGCGGACUGGAGUGUCGGAGAGGAUGGCGGAAUUCCCGGUGUAGAGGUGAAAUUCGUAGAUAUCGGGAGGAACACCUGUGGCGAAGGCGGCCAUCUGGACGAUAACUGACGCUGAGACGCGAAAGCGUGGGUAGCAAACAGGAUUAGAUACCCUGGUAGUCCACGCUGUAAACGAUGGAUGCUAGAUGUUGCGGGUAUUGACCCCCGCAGUGUCGACGCUAACGCAUUAAGCAUCCCGCCUGGGGAGUACGGCCGCAAGGUUAAAACUCAAAGGAAUUGACGGGGGCCCGCACAAGC
rnacentral:rRNA from 1 species